rnacentral:rRNA from 1 species
GAUGAACGCUAGCGGCAGGCCUAAUACAUGCAAGUCGAGGGGUAGUGGUUGCUUGCAGCCAUGAGACCGGCGCACGGGUGCGUAACGCGUAUGCAACCUACCUUCAUCUGGGGGAUAGCCCGGAGAAAUCCGGAUUAAUACCGCAUAAAAUCACAGUACGGCAUCGUACAAUGAUCAAACAUUUAUGGGAUGGAGAUGGGCAUGCGUGUCAUUAGUUAGUUGGCGGGGUAACGGCCCACCAAGACCGCGAUGACUAGGGGAUCUGAGAGGAUGACCCCCCAAACGGGAGCUGAGCCACGGACCAGACUCGUACGGGAGUCAGCAGUAAGGAAUAUUGGUCAAUGACCGCCAGUUUGAACCAGCCAUGCCGCGUGCAGGAAGACGGACCUCUGGGUUGUAAACUGCUUUUAUUCGGGAAUAAACCUGCUUACGUGUAAGUAGCUGAAUGUACCGAAGGAAUAAGGAUCGGCUAACUCCGUGCCAGCCGCCGCGGUAAAAC